rnacentral:lncRNA from 1 species
ACUCUUCUACUUAGAGUUGAUAUUUGUAUUGAAAGAAAGAAAGGAAGAAAGGAAGAAAGGAAGAGAGAAAGGAAGAAAGGAAGAGAGAAAGGAAGGAAAGAAAGAAAAAAACUCAAUUCACUUCAAUUCUUCAAUGAUUUCUAAUUUGAGAGAAUGAUACAACCCAUACUGCACUGGACAUGGAUUCAAGAAGAUCUAGGUUCAAAUUCUGUCUUAAACAUUUUGUUAGCUGUUAGACUCUGGAUAAAUCACUUAAUCUCCCUUUACCCCAAUGUUCUCAGCUGUAUCAGAUUCCUUGGUGUGGAUGACCUUAUACUCAGCUAAAUCAAAAGAACCAUCCAACUUUAGAAGUGUAUAUAGGGGAAAACCAACCAAGCAACCAAAAAAAAUACCUAUCCUUGGAUAUAUCAGAGAGGGAAGAGCUGAAAUCUUGUUUGGAAAUUUUAAUAAAGUCAAAAGAAGAUGCUUACCCAUCCACAGAGAAAAACAGAAUUCUUUAUCUGAAGAGGUUAAAUGACUUACCAGCAAGUGGCAGAACCGUACUCCAGCCCAGGUCUUAUGACUUGACUUCACAUCCAGAAUUCUUGCCUCUCUGGCUUUUUGACACAUGCAUAAAGACAAGAAAUAACUCAGCCUAUUGAAAUGAAUAAUCCAAAAACAGACUCUAACCCCCAACAACCCUUCCUCCAUCAAUCAGCAGUAUGAAACUGUCAAUUGUGUAAAGUUUUUCUGAAGACAUAAUUUCUUGAAUAUUGGUGACCAGCUGCAAUAAGAUCUCAUUCAUUACUCUUUCACAAUCCCACUGAUUUUAUGGAACUGCAAUAGGCUAAUAAUUUCAGGGAGCAGAACAGCUCAUUUUUCAGAAAAAGAAAUUAUAGCCAAAAAUAUAUGUACUGAAUUGGCUAGAUAACAAGGCAGGAAAUGCAAUGUUUCAUAAUCUGAAUUUUGGAAUAUUUAGCUGUGUUCAAUUUUCCUGAAGUAUCUGGCCUACUCUUGACAGCGACUAAGAAACCAAUAGGGCUGCCUGAGAUAAUUACAUAGCAUGCACUGCUCUACUUCAUAUGCAGUCAUUAAGUCUAUUAUAGAUUCCUAUUUGUGAUGCUAGAGGUUAAGGGGUUUCAUGGAGAUUUCCAUUUAAAUCCCUAUCUUUAUGGGAUUAGAAUACAGCCAUAAAAAUGUGCUCCCAGGCUGAAACUUGAUACACAAGGUCUUGGCCUGGGUGCAAAUGUUUUUAAAUUUUUUCAUAAAUAUCAUUAUAAAAUGUCUUUGUAAAAUAAAAAUUACAUUUAUUGGGUC